rnacentral:rRNA from 1 species
UGGGGAAUAUUGCACAAUGGGCGCAAGCCUGAUGCAGCCAUGCCGCGUGUAUGAAGAAGGCCUUCGGGUUGUAAAGUACUUUCAGCGGGGAGGAAGGGAGUAAAGUUAAUACCUUUGCUCAUUGACGUUACCCGCAGAAGAAGCACCGGCUAACUCCGUGCCAGCAGCCGCGGUAAUACGGAGGGUGCAAGCGUUAAUCGGAAUUACUGGGCGUAAAGCGCACGCAGGCGGUUUGUUAAGUCAGAUGUGAAAUCCUCGGGCUCAACCUGGGAACUGCAUCUGAUACUGGCAAGCUUGAGUCUCGUAGAGGAGGGUAGAAUUCCAGGUGUAGCGGUGAAAUGCGUAGAGAUCUGGAGGAAUACCGGUGGCGAAGGCGGCCCCCUGGACGAAGACUGACGCUCAGGUGCGAAAGCGUGGGGAGCAAACAGG